AUGCUCGGCGCCGUCCUCCGGAUGCGUCUCCGCGUGCUCCGCCGCCACCUCCGCCUCCGCGGUCGCAGGCGGAGGCGCCGCUCGCGGUCCCGGAGAGGGGGCGGCGGCGCGGCGGGGGGUAAGGAGGAGGGGCCGCGCGAGCCGGUGCUGCUCGUGUCCGGGAUGGGCGGGUCGGUGCUGCACGCGUGGCGGCGGUCCGACCUCAGGUUCGACCUCCGGGUUUGGGUGCGCAUCCUCCUCGCCGACCUCGAGUUCAAGAAGUACCUCUGGUCGCUCUACAACGCCAAAACCGGGUAUGUGGAAUCGUUGGACGACGAUGUGGAGACUGUGGUGCCGGACGACGAUCAUGGCCUGUUCGCCAUCGAUGUUCUCGAUCCUUCCUGGGUGAGUGGGCUUAUGGGUGCUAGUUCAGUGAAUGGAGUUGAAUGGUACUAG
rnacentral:rRNA from 1 species